GCGCCCAAAAAUCAGCCACCGAACGUCGGGGUGCCAAGACCCACCAGCGGAAAAAUGGCCAAAAAAUUGGUGGGCUAUAGCCUUGGUGGGGGGCGUGGGCGAAGUUCGUCCGCCGGAGUCGGAAUGGCCCCAGACUUUGCGGGCGGCCUCCGUGUGCCAAAAAUAGGCCACGGGCACAGCCGCGCCCACAAAUCAGCCCCCGAAGGUCGGGGUGCCAACACCCCCCAGCGGAAAAAUGGCCAAAAAAUGGGUGGGCUAUAGCCUUGGUGGGGGGCGCGGGCGAAGUUCGUCCGCCGGACUCGGAAUGGCCCCAGACUUUGCGGGCGGCCUCCGUGUGCCAAAAAUAGGCCACGGGCACAGCCGCGCCCAAAAAUCAGCCCCCGAAGGUCGGGGUGCCAAGACCCCCCAGCGGAAAAAUGGCCAAAAAACGGGUGGGCUAUAGCCUUGGUGGGGGGCGUGGGCGAAGUUCGUCAGCCGGACUUGGAAUGGCCCCAGACUUUGCGUGCGGCCUUCGUGUGCCAAAAAUAGGCCACGGGCACAGCCGCGCCCAAAAAUCAGCCCCCGAAGGUCGGGGUGCCAAGACCCCCCAGCGGAAAAAUGGCCAAAAAACGGGUGGGCUAUAGCCUUGGUGGGGGGCGUGGGCGAAGUUCGUCCGCCGGACUCGGAAUGGCCCCAGACUUGGCUGGCGGCCUCCGUGUGCCAAAAAUAGGCCACGGGCACAGCCGCGCCCAAAAAUCAGCCCCCGAAGGUCGGGGUCCCAAGACCCCGCAGCGGAAAAAUGGCCAAAAAAUGGGUGGGCUAUAGCCUUGGCGGGGGGCGUGGGCGAAGUUCGUCCGCGGGACUCGGAAUGGCACCAUACUUGGCGGGCGGCCUCCGUGUCCAAAAAAUAGGCCACGGGCACAGCCGCGCCCAAAAAUCAGCCCCCGAAGGUCGGGGUCCCAAGACCCCCCCAGCGGAAAAAUGGCCAAAAAACGGGUGGGCUAUAGCCUUGGUGGGGGGCGUGGGCGAAGUUCGUCCGCCGGACUCGGAAUGGCCCCAGACUUGGCGGGCGGCCUCCGUGUGCCAAAAAUAGGCCACGGGCACAGCCGCUCCCAAAAAUCAGCCCCCGAAGGUCGGGGUCCCAAGACCCCCCAGAGNNN
rnacentral:lncRNA from 1 species